rnacentral:rRNA from 1 species
GCAUGUGGUGGAUGCCUUGGCAGUCAGAGGCGAAGAAAGACGUGAUAGCCUGCGAAAAGCUCCGGGGAGGCGGCAAAUAUCCUGUGAUCCGGAGAUUUCUGAAUGGGGAAACCCACCUGUCAUAAGGCAGGUAUCGUAUGAUGAAUACAUAGUCAUACGAGGCGAACGAGGGGAAGUGAAACAUCUCAGUACCCUUAGGAAAAGAAAUCAAUUGAGAUUCCCUCAGUAGCGGCGAGCGAACGGGGAAAAGCCCAUUAAGUCAUAUAAGUUCUAGUGGAAUGCUCUGGGAAGUGCAACCAUAGUGGGUGAUAGUCCUGUACACGAAAGGGCUGAUAUGAUGAUGUCGAGUAGGGCGGGGCACGUGAAACCCUGUCUGAACAUGGGGUGACC